rnacentral:rRNA from 1 species
UACGUAGGGUGCAAGCGUUGUCCGGAAUUAUUGGGCGUAAAGAGCUCGUAGGCGGUCUGUUGCGUCGGCUGUGAAAACCCGGGGCUCAACUCCGGGCCUGCAGCCGAUACGGGCAGACUAGAGUUCGGCAGGGGAGACUGGAAUUCCGUGGUGUAGCGGUGAAAUGCGUAGAUAUCUGGAGGAACACCGGUGGCGAAGGCGGCGUCCUGGACCAACACUGACACUGAUGAGCGAAAGCCAGGGGAGCAAACGGG